UGAGGAAGAGUUUCCAAGAAAUUCUUCACGGAAAUUUAUACAUUUUUAAGCAUGAGCAAAUCCUGGUGAAUUCUGAUAUCAAGGGGGAGAGUUCUUACCCCAACUCACUGGAUGAACAGAAGACUGCGAGAUACUUUCACAGUCUCAGAACAUGCCCCCAUGUAGGACCUUUGGAAAAGAGGGAUAAUGCAGCCUUGAGGAAGCUGGAACACAAGCAAUUUUCUAUGAUCCUUUACUUCAAAGGGGACAAAAGGAAGAAGAAAUGAGAGCAACCGAACAUGGCCUUCAUGUGGAUCAGCUCCUAGUAACAGAAGCAAUGUGGGAUUGCUGAACUGUCAGUGGCCUAAGCAACAACACUAGCUCAUAGAAAAACUCGAGUCGUAUAGUGGAAAAUAAAUACAAAAACUGCUAAGAUGCUGUCAAUGAGCAGGAGCAGAGCUUUUGUUUAGACAGAGAAGGGAACUGCAGAGAAAACCAGCUUUUUUAACCUGAAUAUGCAGCGCUUCUUGCACAUGGAGAGGGGAAGCAGAGACUGGGAACAAGUCUGAAGUGGAGCCACACAAUGCCUGGUGUCAAAGCAAGAAGUGGGGUGGAUCUCCGCAAAAAGCGAGACCUGAGUUGAUGACAGAGCCUCUGACAAGAAAGGUAGCAAAGAAAUCACAGAAAUAUUCAGAGAAACUUCUAGCUUGCACAAAUUCACAGGAAAGAUCAACUGUCCAUUGGCAAAAGUAUAUAUAAUUAUGGCACUAAAAUGAAGUUGUUUUAAUCUUCACAAUAAUUAUCAACAUGUACAGCAGCUACUAUAAGAAAAAUAAUUGCUAACAUAAGAAAG
ensembl:lncRNA